rnacentral:rRNA from 1 species
GAUGAACGCUGGCGGCGUGCCUAAUACAUGCAAGUCGAGCGAACGGACGAGAAGCUUGCUUCUCUGAUGUUAGCGGCGGACGGGUGAGUAACACGUGGAUAACCUACCUAUAAGACUGGGAUAACUUCGGGAAACCGGAGCUAAUACCGGAUAAUAUUUUGAACCGCAUGGUUCAAUAGUGAAAGACGGUCUUGCUGUCACUUAUAGAUGGAUCCGCGCUGCAUUAGCUAGUUGGUAAGGUAACGGCUUACCGAGGCAACGAUGCAUAGCCGACCUGAGAGGGUGAUCGGCCACACUGGAACUGAGACACGGUCCAGACUCCUACGGGAGGCAGCAGUAGGGAAUCUUCCGCAAUGGGCGAAAGCCUGACGGAGCAACGCCGCGUGAGUGAUGAAGGUCUUCGGAUCGUAAAACUCUGUUAUUAGGGAAGAACAUAUGUGUAAGUAACUGUGCACAUCUUGACGGUACCUAAUCAGAAAGCCACGGCUAACUACGUG